rnacentral:lncRNA from 1 species
AUGGAUAUAGCUGUGCUCUGAAUCACCUGAUGGGCAUAGAUGGGCUAUGAGUCAAUCUGCAUGAAGUGUCGAUUUUUUUUACGGAAGAAGAUUCAGGUACAAUAAAAAUCCAAUGAAGAAAAAGUAAGUAGGACGAAUUUAAGCACAACACGACAAAAUAACCGAACAAAAGAUAGCUGAAUUCGAAUUUAGGAGAAAAGAUAGGAUGAUCAACCGGCAAGAAAAAAAACCAAAACAAAGUAAGUGAGAUACAAACCAAAUCUAGAUCGGGAAAACAAAUGUGAGGAAGUAACCCCUUCACCAUGGCAUAUCCUUGGCGCAACUUGCUUGCAUUAGUUUGAGAGAGCAAUAGCUUUGGUUUCAACGGGGGAGAGAGAGAGAUUGGAGAGAGGAAGGGGCUGGUUUCAACGGGGAGAGAGAGAUUGGAGAGAGGAAGGGAUGGUGGAAUACGUACUUCCAUGGGAGAGAUAGAUAACGGAGAGGAAG